GUGACCAUGUAUUAGGAAAAUCACUGUCCUAUUUCAAUUUGGCAUCAUUAUCUCCUUUUAAAUCACACAAUGUAAAGUAGGUAAUCUUGCUCUCACUUAGAGGAAGAAGUUGGCCAGUGUAAUCUCCCGGGACCCACAUGUUCACUAGCUUUGUUCUGAGCCCGGAACCUCACCAGCACAACAUGACACAUCUCUUCAGGUACUUAUCCCUGAAGAAGCUGUUUGUUCCUGUGUGAAGCGAGGGUUUGGGGCCACAGGGCCACCCAGUUUGGAAUCCUGGGGUCCCCGAAUGCUCCAGCGCAGGCUGUAACUAGGAGGGUAUCCCUCUGCGGUGAGGGCUGAGCCCCGCCCACUCCCCAGGCCACCUCCACACAUUCCAGGGAGAAAAACAGCUAAUGAUGAAGCAAGCCGUCUCUGCACCGGACUCAGGCCCAUGGCUGCACUCCUAGGGAGAAAGUGGCAUUGCUCCCGUCGCCUCCGGACCCAGCUGUCCUGUGAGUUAGUUACCCUGGCUCUGAAAAAGUUUGCUGAGCAAAUAAUAAUGUCAGCAAGGGUGUAAGAAGAACUUUAAUCUACUUCACAGGGUAUGGUAAGAAGCCAAACUAUUUCUGAGGACGAAAGGACAAUGAGCCUGCUUAUUCCCAGAGAAUUCUAACUGACAAUACUCUAGCUGACAGUAUUAAUGGGGCCCCUACCACGUGCCAGGCACCAGGCUGGUCUCUUCGGGAGCGGUUAGUCCUCACAUUUGUAUCAGUGUCAUUUUGCAGCCAAGAAGACAAACGAAUAGGAAAGAAUAAGUAACUUGUCUAAAGCCCCAGUCAACUCAAAUCCAGUGUCUAAAUUCAAAAUCCAUGACAUUUGCAUUGCUUAAAAAGGACUUCACAAUGAACACUUCUCUUGAAUCCAGAGCCCUCUCCUAAUUAGUGUAACAUGAAGUUUUAAAAAAAGACAGCAUCACUUCUGCCACUCCCAGGAAUUGGGCAGCAGGCCCAGGGAUGGCUCCCAACAGGGUGGCUGGGGGCAGGGGCAUCGCCUGUAAACCCCUUAAGCUGUUCCCACGUUUGACUGGGCCACGGAGUGCUUAAGUGGAUGUCGGAACAGGAACCUGGGGCUCACGUUGAACCAAACAUUUUUAAGAGCUGGCUCAGAAGCAUAUAUUUCUUUCCCCCAAACAAUUCCACCCUGCAAAACCAGGUUUAGAUAAUAAAGUUGCCAUUCUAGCAAAAACAGGCAAAACCUGGGCCCAGUUUGCCAACAGGAAAAGAAGGUGGACAGCUGGAUGUCAUGAGCUCCUCCAAGAGGCGACUCCUCCUCUUGAUCAGGAGGACAACUGGCAGCUACUUAAUAAGCCUCAGCUGUAAAACCCAGAUGCCAGGGCCCAGGACGGAGUGCCGACCUGUGAGGGCAGCUCUGGGAAGGAUCCCGGCUGGGUCACCAGUGUUCUGUGGCUUUUGGAGGAAGCUAUCACCUCGAGAUGUCUCAGAAUAGCCAUGGAAAAGAAAAACAGGGCCUUCAGUGCCUGUGUGCCUGGAGCAAAUUCACUAGCUUCUCUGAGCUGGUUUCCUUAUCCAUCAAUCUACCUCCCGGCCACAGGCCUGGGCCGUGGAGAUCAAAUACUUAAGGCACUGCCACUGUGAGUUUUGGUUAUGAUGGUGACUGUUGCCCCUGGGAGCAUCAAGGUAUUGGAAUGAGUCACUUGGGACAGUGCCAGAGACAAAAGGAUAUGUCACAAUUGUUCCAGACCAUGGCAGUUACUGCUUGCUGCUUAAACUAUUGUCUGACAUCGGUUUUUUCCUAAGGAUCUUUUUAAAAUUGUGGUAAAAUACACAUAAUGUAAAAUUUACUAUCCUAACCAUUCUUAUUUCUUUUCUUUUCUUUUUGGCAGGGGGGAAGGUAGUUAAGUUUAUUUGCCUUUUCAGUAGAGGUACUGGGGAUUGAACCCAGGACCCCAUGCCUGCUAAGCAUGUGCUCUACCACUUGAGCUAUUCCCUCCCCACUACCAUAACCUUCUUAAGUGGAGGGUUCAGUAGUGUUAAGAACAGUCACACUGUGGGACAACCAAUGAGAGUCUAAUCCCACUGAACAGCCCCCACUCCCUCUCCCCCUCAGCCCCCGGCACCCACCAUUCUAUUUCUUGUCUCUGUGAAUUUGACUUGAGGUUUUUUGUUUUUUGUGUUUUUUUAAAUUAGCAAAACGCUUCCACUCUGCAACCCACACGAGCAUUCCACGGAAGGCCUGCUUCACGUCGGAGCAGCAGGGGCAGGUUCUUCUUAGUCAGAGCGGGAGCCACACCCGGCCCAGCCUCAGGUGGGGGCACUUUUCAACACCCUGACUCACCCUCCCCUGCAGCUGGAGAGACUCAUUCCGAGGAAGGGGCUGCACCUGUCUGCCACCCGCCCGCUCCAGCACCCGAGCUUCAGGGCAGCCGGUUAGGCAACACCAGUUGCAUCUCCAUCCUUAGCCAACACCGAGCCCUCAAGCUGGAUCCUGGUCAUUCAGGGAUCUCCGCACUUAGUGCAGCGCGUGUUGAGAUGUCUCGGUUUUCCAGCUACGUGAUCUGAAUGAUACGUCUUGUGGGACUGGAAUGGCCACAUGAAACUGGGUUUUGAAAGCAGCUUCCGGUCUCUGCUGGGGCCACUUGGAGUCUGCUGGAGUGGAGGGGACAGAGAAAGCCUUUGGGCACAGAGACCCAGGAGGGCUUCCACAAAACGGGAACUGGGACCUCCUGAGUGGGCGGAGAGGAUGGGAGGGGCACUGGUGGGCCCGCUCUGCCCCCAGUGGUGGUGCGCCCACCUUCACUGCACCAUCCUCCAUCCUCACCGCCGGGGUACAGCUGGUGCCAUGCUGAGGACGCAGAAGCCUCGGAGCCCCUGGCUGGCACGUGCCCCUUCCAAGCCUGGGAGGAGUCCUAACCUUGUGUUGGGGGUUGAAUUGCAUCCCCCCCCAAAAAAUGGCUAAGCCCUGGCCCCUGUACCUUAGAAUGGGAUCUUAUUGGACCUGGGGUCAUCAAGGAUGUGAUAACUCAAGACCAGGUCAUGUGGAGGAGGAUGGGCCACUAAUCCAGCAAGACUGGUGUCCUUACUAGAAGACAGCCAGUGAAGACAGAGGUGCAGGGAGAAUGCCAUGUGAAGGUGGACGAUUGGUAAAGCCAAGGAGCGCCUGGGGCUUCUGGAAGGAGAGGGGCCUGAAACAGACGUACCCUCAGAGCCCCAGCCCUGCCGACUCCUUGGAUUUCUAGCUCCCAGCAUUGUGAGAAAGCUGUUGUCAAAGCCCCCAGUUUGUGAUAUUUCCUUAAGGCGGCCCUGGGAACCAAUUUCCCCAUGUAGUCAUGUGGUCCUACGUGUUCUUUUUCUAAAAGGGGCCCCAGAGAAGCUUCAGGUGCCACGAAACUUGGAUCUGCACCCACCCAUUCCACUGAUUUAUUUUCUUCCUAGUAUUUAGCUCUACCUGAAGUCGUCCUAGCCAGAUACUGGUUGGUUCAGUCAUGAACCAUCACAUGGGCUCUGUGAGAGGAGGGGCCUUGUGUGUCUGUUUGCCACAGUGUCCCCAGCUCUCUGACAGAGCCUGGCAGGGCUUCCUAACCUUUUGUUGUAAAUGAUAAAUAAAUAAACUGCCUGUUCA